rnacentral:rRNA from 1 species
GACGAACGCUGGCGGCGUGCUUAACACAUGCAAGUCGAGCGGUAAGGCCUUUCGGGGUACACGAGCGGCGAACGGGUGAGUAACACGUGGGUGAUCUGCCCUGCACUUCGGGAUAAGCCUGGGAAACUGGGUCUAAUACCGGAUAUGACCUCCUAUCGCAUGGUGGGUGGUGGAAAGAUUUAUCGGUGCAGGAUGGGCCCGCGGCCUAUCAGCUUGUUGGUGGGGUAAUGGCCUACCAAGGCGACGACGGGUAGCCGACCUGAGAGGGUGACCGGCCACACUGGGACUGGGACACGGCCCAGACUCCUACGGGAGGCAGCAGUGGGGAAUAUUGCACAAUGGGCGAAAGCCUGAUGCAGCGACGCCGCGUGAGGGAUGACGGCCUUCGGGUUGUAAACCUCUUUCAGCAGGGACGAAGCGCAAGUGACGGUACCUGCAGAAGAAGCACCGGCUAACUACGUG